rnacentral:rRNA from 1 species
UACCAGCACCCCGAGUGGUCGGGACGAUUAUUGGGCCUAAAGCGUCCGUAGCCGGCCUUACAAGUCCUCCGUUAAAUCCAGCUGCUUAACAGAUGGGCUGCGGAGGAUACUAUAAGACUAGGAGGCAGGAGAGGCAAGCGGUACUCAGUGGGUAGGGGUAAAAUCCGUUGAUCCAUUGAAGACCACCAGUGGCGAAGGCGGCUUGCCAGAAUGCGCUCGACGGUGAGGGAUGAAAGCUGGGGGAGCAAACCGG